rnacentral:rRNA from 1 species
ACGCUCGACACCUACGGGGGCAGCAGUGAGGGAUAUUGGUCAAUGGGGGGAACCCUGAACCAGCAACGCCGCGUGAGGGAUGACGGUCUUCGGAUUGUAAACCUCUGUCCUCUGUGAAGAUAAUGACGGUAGCAGAGGAGGAAGCUCCGGCUAACUACGUGUCAGCAGCCGCGGUAAUCUGAGCGGGCUGGCAAGGC